rnacentral:misc_RNA from 1 species
AAAGUCGUAACAAGGUUUCCGUCGGGGAACCAGCGGAAGGAUCAUUACUGUUCUAUAUUGAAAUGCGAGAGUGUGGUGUGAUUUGUUGGGUUCGGGUUGUUGUUUGUAUUUGUUCUGAAAAGGACAGUAUAACGACGACACGCGCCCUGCUAUUACUUUUAACAAUUAACGUGACUGAAUGAAACGAAUACUGUACGAACACAACUGGCAACGGUGGAUCUCUUGGCUCGU